UACGUAGGGUGCAAGCGUUGUCCGGAAUUAUUGGGCGUAAAGAGCUCGUAGGCGGUCUGUCGCGUCUGCUGUGAAAACUCAGGGCUUAACCCUGAGCUUGCAGUGGGUACGGGCAGACUAGAGGUUCGGUAGGGGAGACUGGAAUUCCUGGUGUAGCGGUGAAAUGCGCAGAUAUCAGGAGGAACACCGGUGGCGAAGGCGGGUCUCUGGGCCGAUACUGACGCUGAGGAGCGAAAGCGUGGGGAGCGAACAGG
rnacentral:rRNA from 1 species